GAUCAUGGCUCAGGAUGAACGCUAGCUACAGGCUUAACACAUGCAAGUCGAGGGCAGCAUUUCAGUUUGCUUGCAAACUGGAGAUGGCGACCGGCGCACGGGUGAGUAACACGUAUCCAACCUGCCGAUAACUCGGGAUAGCCUUUCGAAAGAAAGAUUAAUACCCGGAUGGUAUAAUUAGACCGCAUGGUCUUGUUAUUAAAGAAUUUCGGUUAUCGAUGGGGAUGCGUUCCAUUAGGCG
rnacentral:rRNA from 1 species